rnacentral:rRNA from 1 species
GUACCGUGAGGGAAAGAUGAAAAGAACUUUGAAAAGAGAGUUAAACAGUACGUGAAAUUGUUGAAAGGGAAACGAUUGAAGUCAGUCAUACCAACGGGAAAUCAACCUUUUGAGCUCGGUCUCGUGGGUUUUGAAGAGUUUCAAAGCCUUCGGAUUCGCGGGAUUGGGAUCUCUUGGUGUACUUUUUCGUACGGUUAGUCAACAUCGGUUUUGAAUGUCAUAAAAUGACUGGAGGAAUGUAGCUUCGAUCUCGUAUUGAAGUGUUAUAGCCUUUGGUAGAUGUGAUGUUUGAGACCGAGGAUUGCAACGGAUACCCUUCAGGGCUAUUCGUCUGAUCUCUGAUACGUUGCCUUGAUGUUGAAAGCUUGCUUAUGAUGUUAGGGUAUUACGGUCAAAAGGUUAGAACGAAUUACAUUCGUUAAGG